UAAAGUUUGCGUUUGGUUUUUGUUUCACCUUUGCGCCUUCACUUGCGCCCACUAAAACUUGCACGUUUUUACGCCCACCGUUUCCUUGUGACGGUGCCCAACGCGCAACUUGAGUGCAAAAUAUUGCUCGCCGUUUGUUCCCGUAAUGGUGUGAUUAGCACGUAGUGGCCCUUCGACUCGCAAAAAGCCAGAAUGUCGUACAACCGGCACGCCCGCGAAGUUGCGUACUGCCCCGUCUAGUCUAGUAACGUGCAACCGCAGGUGCCACCCUAGCUCAGUGCGUUGCUUACGGCGGCGACUUCUUGUGCAUCGGUGCUCUUUACGGACUGGUGAACCCGCAAUCCUGUAGUAGAAGAACAGCUGUGGGAGACCGGGCAUCUUGUUCACCGCGUUUGACAGGUCGGUACCCAACGUUCGGUACCGGCAUUGCGCCCACUGAUAUUGGCCUGCGACUCCUCGACAAUGGGACUGCACACCAUUCUCAAGAAGUUGAAGCGCAAGGAGAAGGAGAUUCGAGUCCUUAUCCUAGGGCUUGACAAUGCGGGCAAGACAACGCUGCUUAAGAGGCUCAACGGGGAGGAUACGUCGGAAGUGUCCCCCACACUUGGCUUCAACAUCAAAACCCUUGAACACCGAGGGUUCCGGCUGAAUAUGUGGGACGUGGGUGGCCAGAAGUCCUUGCGGGGAUACUGGCGGAACUACUUCGAGAGCACCGACGCGAUCAUCUGGGUGGUGGACAGUGCCGACCGACGGCGCCUGGGGGACUGCCACCGGGAACUUCGGACGCUCACCUGUGAGGAGAAACUGCUCGGGAGCAGCCUGCUGGUGCUGGCCAACAAGCAAGACCUGCCGGGGGCCGUGCCUCCCGACCAGAUUGCCGAGAUGCUGGAGCUCUCUGCCAUCAACAGCCUUCACUGGAAGAUGCUUGGCUGCAGCGCAUUCACAGGCAUGGACGGACUGUUGGAUGGCAUAGAGUGGAUGCUCGACGACCUCUCCAGGCGUCUCUACUACAUGGACUGAGCCGAGGCACACUUGUGUGCGACACAUUUGGCCAGUGUCGCUCAUCGGACUACGGACUACGGUGGCU
rnacentral:misc_RNA from 1 species